GUAAUCAAAUUUGAAAAUGGGGAAGAGCUUGUUUGUGUUCAUUUUGCUAGUUGCUCUCUUUGCUACCGAUGAGACUAUGAUGAGUGUGACAGAAGCGAAGAUGUGUCAAACGACGAGCCAUGCAUUGAGUUGUGCGACUGACACGACUUGUAAUAGCUCGUGCGAAAAGCAAGGUUUUGCUCAAGGCAAAUGUGAUGGAAUACGUCGUCGUUGUACAUGUUACAAGCAGUGCUGAACAUAUGUUCUCUAAAACUACUUACGCUAUGUACACUGUCACGCGACUUUCGCCUAAAUAAAUAUCAAUAAAGUUUGGCGUUUGUAGCCCUUUACAAAA